AUGUCUAGAUUGGGACACUUUCUAUAUAAACUCUUGUAUCGUUCCCAUGCUUCUGAGUAGCUCCCUAGCUCCUUUGGUUUAAAUAUAUGUAUUUCAUUCUGAGUUU
rnacentral:snoRNA from 1 species